rnacentral:rRNA from 1 species
CCCGGGUCUUGUAACACCGCCCGUCACACCAUGGGAGCGGGUUCUGCCAGAAGUAGUUAGCCUAACCGCAAGGAGGGCGAUUACCACGGCAGGGUUCGUGACUGGGGUG